AACGAACGCUGGCGGCAGGCCUAACACACGCAAGUCGAGCGAGUACUUCGGUCCUAGCGGCGGACGGGUGAGUAACGCGUGGGAACGUGCCCUUUGCUACGGAAUAGCCCCGGGAAACUGGGAUUAAUACCGUAUCUGCCCUUCGGGGGAAAGAUUUAUCGGCAAAGGAUCGGCUCGCGUUGGAUGUGGUAGUUGGUGGGGUAAUGGCCUACCAAGCCGACGAUCCAUAGCUGGUUUGAGAGGAUGAUCAGCAACACUGGGACUGAGACACGGCACAGACUCCUACGGGAGGAAGCAGUGGGGAAUCUUAGACAAUGGGGGAAACCCUGAUCUAGCCAUGCCGCGUGAGCGAUGAAGGCCUUAGGGUUGUAAAGCUCUUUCAGUGGGGAAGAUAAUGACGGUACCCACAGAAGAAGCCCCGGCUAACUCCGUGCCAGCCGCCGCAGUAAGAC
rnacentral:rRNA from 1 species